rnacentral:rRNA from 1 species
CGAGGAAUCUUGCGCAAUGGGGGAAACCCUGACGCAGCAACGCCGCGUGAGUGAGGAAGGCUUUCGGGUCGUAAAGCUCUGUCGGAUGGGAAGAAAUGGUUGGAAGUUAAUACCUUCCAUCCUUGACGGUACCAUCAGAGGAAGCACCGGCUAACUCCGUGCCAGCAGCCGCGGUAAUACGGGGGGUGCAAGCGUUGUUCGGAACCAUUGGGCGUAAAGCGCGCGCAGGCGGCUUGGUAAGUCAGAUGUGAAAUCCCUGGGCUUAACCCAGGAAGUGCAUUUGAUACUGCCUCGCUAGAGUACGGGAGAGGAAAGUGGAAUUCCUGGUGUAGAGGUGAAAUUCGUAGA